AAGUGGAUUAGUGGCGCACGGGUGAGUAAUACAUAGAUAACAUACCCUUUAGUCUGGAAUAGCCACUGGAAACGGUGAUUAAUACUGGAUACUCCCUACGGGGGAAAGUUUUUCGCUAAAGGAUUGGUCUAUGUCCUAUCAGCUUGUUGGUGAGGUAAUGGCUCACCAAGGCUAUGACGGGUAUCCGACCUGAGAGGGUGAACGGACACACUGGAACUGAGACACGGUCCAGACUCCUACGGGAGGCAGCAGUAGGGAAUAUUGCUCAAUGGGGGAAACCCUGAAGCAGCAACGCCGCGUGGAGGAUGAAGGUUUUAGGAUUGUAAACUCCUUUUGUUAGAGAAGAUA
rnacentral:rRNA from 1 species